CGCGCUUGGAAGGAUUACGGA
rnacentral:siRNA from 1 species